UUUCUUACCUGGCAGGGGAGAUACCAUGAUCACAAAGGUGGUUUUCCCAGGGUGAGGCUCAUCCAUUGCACUUAGGGGUGCUUUCGAACUGCUAGGUGGGCAGGAGCUGGGACCGAAAGACGGGAGCUCACCCCGCCGCGGGGAU